AUACGUAGGUGGCAAGCGUUGUCCGGAUUUACUGGGUGUAAAGGGCGCGUAGGCGGGAAUACAAGUCAGAUGUGAAAUCUAUGGGCUUAACCCAUAAACUGCAUUUGAAACUGUAUUUCUUGAGUGAUGGAGAGGCAGGCGGAAUUCCUAGUGUAGCGGUGAAAUGCGUAGAUAUUAGGAGGAACACCAGUGGCGAAGGCGGUCUGCUGGACAUUAACUGACGCUGAGGCGCGAAAGCGUGGGGAGC
rnacentral:rRNA from 1 species